CCCGUGACACGCCCACCAGCAACACCAGGAGAAAAACACGCUGACGAAUGAGAGGCUUGGAGAUAUAAUAUUUGCAGUGACACAACAGACUGUGUACCACGACGAUGUUGCUUGUUAAGGAAUGGAUGCAGGUGACAAUGCUUGGUUUGUAGAUGACUGCUGUACUGCAAUAUCUGUAAUCAACAGAGCCUGAGGAUAGUGACCCUGGCAGUGUCCCUGGGUGGAGUGGAGAGCAUCCUGGAGCACCCCAUCACCAUGACUCACGGCUCCUACCUCCUGACUCCCGAGGAGAUCGCAGAGAACAGGAUAACCCCCGGACAGCUGAGAAUCAGUAUUGGUAUCGAGGACGCAGACGACCUUAUCGCCGACUUCAAGCAAGCCUUGGACAAAGUGGUUGUGUGAAAAAAGUUCAGCUCAGGACAAGAUCAAGAUGUUAUGCAGAAUUGAUAUUAUACAUAGCAACCGAUAAAAACAUUAUAUACAAGUCCCCAUUGCAGACAGCUUACAAAUACAAACAUCCAGUCCUUGGAUAGCUUCCUAGAAACCCGCACUGUCCUGGUGUCCAGGGGUCAAAGAUCAUGCCAUCAAAACUUCAUCUCAGCUUCAAACAACAGAUAUGAAAACAAACUUUACAAUAGCGCCCUGACUUCACAAAUUGCAUUCAUCUUAAAGCUUCUAUAGACAGUAUGGGAUGAUUAGAAGUGAUGCGAGUGACGCACAAUGUUGUACCUGCACUGCUCUAUCUGUAACUUGGACCCUAAUGUCAGAGUCUUCUACUGGUUUAAAGAUAUUAGUUCAUUUCUGUACUCGACUAAUAAAGCAGACAAAUACUUUGUCCAGUAUCCGUUGAAGUCAAUGCUUAUUUCUAUUUAUAAAAUGCAGUCUUGUGACAUAUUGAAUAAACAGUUUCCUUAUA